UACGUAGGGCGCAAGCGUUGUCCGGAAUUAUUGGGCGUAAAGAGCUCGUAGGCGGCCUGUUGCGUCCGCUGUGAAAACCCGGGGCUUAACCCCGGGCUUGCAGUGGAUACGGGCAGGCUGGAGGCAGGCAGGGGAGAACGGAAUUCCCGGUGUAGCGGUGAAAUGCGCAGAUAUCAGGAGGAACACCAAUGGCGAAGGCAGCUCGCUGGGACGGUACUGACGCUGAGACGCGAAAGCGUGGGGAGCAAACAGG
rnacentral:rRNA from 1 species